GAUGAACGCUGGCGGCGUGCCUAAUACAUGCAAGUCGAGCGAACAGAUAAGGAGCUUGCUCCUUUGACGUUAGCGGCGGACGGGUGAGUAACACGUGGGUAACCUACCUAUAAGACUGGGAUAACUUCGGGAAACCGGAGCUAAUACCGGAUAAUAUUUCGAACCGCAUGGUUCGAUAGUGAAAGAUGGUUUUGCUAUCACUUAUAGAUGGACCCGCGCCGUAUUAGCUAGUUGGUAAGGUAACGGCUUACCAAGGCGACGAUACGUAGCCGACCUGAGAGGGUGAUCGGCCACACUGGAGCUGAGACACGGUCCAGACUCCUACGGGAGGCAGCAGUAGGGAAUCUUCCGCAAUGGGCGAAAGCCUGACGGAGCAACGCCGCGUGAGCGAUGAAGGUCUUCGGAUCGUAAAACUCUGUUAUUAGGGAAGAACAUACGUGUAAGUAACUGUGCACGUCUUGACGGUACCUAAUCAGAAAGCCACGGCUAACUACGUG
rnacentral:rRNA from 1 species